rnacentral:rRNA from 1 species
AGCGAACGCUGGCGGCAGGCCUAACACAUGCAAGUCGAACGGACCCUUCGGGGUUAGUGGCGGACGGGUGAGUAACACGUGGGAACAUGCCUUUAGGUUCGGAAUAGCUCCUGGAAACGGGUGGUAAUGCCGAAUGUGCCCUUCGGGGGAAAGAUUUAUCGCCUUUAGAGCGGCCCGCGUCUGAUUAGCUAGUUGGUGAGGUAACGGCUCACCAAGGCGACGAUCAGUAGCUGGUCUGAGAGGAUGACCAGCCACACUGGGACUGAGACACGGCCCAGACUCCUACGGGAGGCAGCAGUGGGGAAUCUUGCGCAAUGGGCGAAAGCCUGACGCAGCCAUGCCGCGUGAAUGAUGAAGGUCUUAGGAUUGUAAAAUUCUUUCACCGGGGACGAUAAUGACGGUACCCGGAGAAGAAGCCCCGGCUAACUUCGUG